GACGAACGCUGGCGGCGUGCCUAAUACAUGCAAGUCGAACGCUUCUUUCCUCCCGAGUGCUUGCACUCAAUUGGAAAGAGGAGUGGCGGACGGGUGAGUAACACGUGGGUAACCUACCCAUCAGAGGGGGAUAACACUUGGAAACAGGUGCUAAUACCGCAUAACAGUUUAUGCCGCAUGGCAUAAGAGUGAAAGGCGCUUUCGGGUGUCGCUGACGGAUGGACCCGCGGUGCAUUAGCUAGUUGGUGAGGUAACGGCUCACCAAGGCCACGAUGCAUAGCCGACCUGAGAGGGUGAUCGGCCACACUGGGACUGAGACACGGCCCAGACUCCUACGGGAGGCAGCAGUAGGGAAUCUUCGGCAAUGGACGAAAGUCUGACCGAGCAACGCCGCGUGAGUGAAGAAGGUUUUCGGAUCGUAAAACUCUGUUGUUAGAGAAGAACAAGGACGUUAGUA
rnacentral:rRNA from 1 species